GCUAGGGUUUGGUGGCACUCACUCUUCCACUGGGUGUGUGUGUCUUUGUCCGUGUAUAAAAGCUAGUCCAUUUCUAACACAAUUGGGUGCGGUGCCGCCAUUGCUGCCCUGCCCUCUCCUUUUACUUUCUUACGCCAUUUUUGUCGUCUCUGUCACACCGUGCGUCGUCGUGUCUCUGCGACACUUUAUCCUCCUUAUUCGCUAGGGAAAAAAAGCACACAAAUUGCGAUAAUUUAACGAAAAUUAUAGAGAAAAAAAGAGAAGAGGGCAGAGAUUUUUGGGAGAAUUUACAGAAUGGCUCAGGUACAAGUUCAGGCGCAGCCUCCGGUUUCAAACGCCGUGGUCAGCAACGGAGUGGGCCAGUUCGUGUCGACGUCAUUGUACGUCGGAGAUCUUGACCAGAACGUGACCGACACGCACCUCUUCGACGUGUUUAGUCAAGUUGGUCUGGUGGUUUCGGUCCGGGUCUGUAGGGACUUGAGCUCCCGACGCUCUCUCGGCUAUGGUUACGUCAAUUACAGCAACCCUCAAGAAGCGGCACGUGCAUUGGAUGCUUUGAAUUUUACUCCUCUCAAUGGCAAGCCAAUCAGAAUUAUGUAUUCUUAUCGUGACCCUAGCAUUCGUAAAAGUGGGGCAGGGAAUAUAUUUAUUAAGAAUUUGGACAAGGCCAUUGAUAACAAAGCACUACAAGAGACAUUUUCAACAUUUGGGAAUAUCUUAUCUUGCAAGAUAGAAACUGAUCAGUCGGGUCAGUCAAAAGGAUAUGGUUAUGUGCAAUUUGAUAAUGAAGAUUCUGCUAAAAAUGCCAUUGAAAAGCUGAAUGGCAUGCUAUUGAAUGACAAACAAGUUUUUGUUGGACCCUUUCUGCGCAAGCAGGAAAGAGAUUCUACUUCAGAUAGGAACAAAUUCAACAAUGUCUAUGUGAAAAACUUUUCCGAAUCCACUACUGAGGAAGAGCUGAAGGAAAUCUUUGGUGAUUUUGGAACUAUUACCAGCGUUGUAGUUAUGAGAGAUGGAGAUGGAAAAUCCAAGUGUUUUGGAUUUGUCAACUUUGAAAACUCUGAUGACGCAGCUCGAUCUGUUGAGGCCCUUAAUGGGAAGAAGUUUGAAGAUAAGGAGUGGUAUGUUGGGAAAGCCCAGAAAAAAUCUGAAAGAGAGGUUGAAUUGAAAGGGGGAAUCGAGCAAAAUUUGAAGGAGAAGGUUGACAAAUAUGAAGGACUGAAUUUAUAUGUUAAAAACCUAGAUGAUAGCAUCACUGAUGAUAAGCUAAGGGAAUUGUUCUCAGAAUUUGGUACGAUUACUUCAUGCAAGGUCAUGUGUGACCCUAAUGGUAUAAGUAGAGGAUCAGGAUUUGUAGCUUUCUCAAAUGCUGAAGAAUCAUCUCGAGCUCUCUCAGAGAUGAAUGGUAAAAUGGUUUCCAGCAAACCACUGUAUGUGGCACUUGCUCAACGUAGAGAAGAUAGAAGAGCAAAGUUGCAGGCACAGUUUUCACAAAUUCGUCCUGCUGGAAUGGCAAUUCCGGUGGCCCCUCGAAUGCCCUUGUAUCCCCCGGGGGCUCCAGGUCUUGGACAGCAACUAUUCUAUGGUCAAGGCCCUCCUGCUAUCAUCCCUCCACAACCUGGAUUUGGGUAUCAGCAGCAAUUGGUUCCUGGGAUGAGGCCAAACUUUUUUGUCCCAAUGGUCCAACCAGGUCAGCAGAGCCAGCGUCCUGGUGGCAGACGGUCUGGAGCAGGGACAAGUCAACCAAAUCAGCAAGCACUCCCACUAAUGCAGCCACAGAUGCUUCCUAGGGGACGUGCCUAUCGUUACCCUCCUGGUCGUAACAUGCCUGAUGCUUCCUUUGCUGGUGUUUCUGGGGGCAUGCUCUCUACUCCAUAUGACAUGGGUGGAAUGCCAUUUACCUAUGGCAACUGGGGCUUUGGCCACUGCACUUGCUAAUGCAACACCCGAGAAGCAGAGGACUUUGCUGGGUGAAAAUUUAUACCCACUGGUGGACCAGUUGGAACAUGAAAACGCUGCAAAGGUGACUGGCAUGCUACUGGAGAUGGACCAGACUGAGGUUUUGCAUUUACUGGAAUCACCGGAGGCCUUGAAAGUGAAGGUUGCUGAGGCCAUGGAGGUGUUGAGGAAUGUAAAUCAGCAGCAGCAAUUAAAUACUCCAAAUGAUCGGAUGGCCUCACUGUCGCUAAGUGACACCCUUGUUUCUUGAGUUUUGUAGGUGGGGUAGCCUGGCCAGGCUUUAUUAGCACUAUAUUUAAUAUAAGUUAUUUGUCUGCAGAGUUUCUUAAGAAUAGAACCUGAAUUUAAUCGGCAUUGAACUGUACAUGUAUGGUGGCUUAGAGUGGCAUUGAACCGUGCAUGUAUGUUUCUUGAGUUUUGGGAUCGUUUUGGAUGCCUUUGAUCAAUACCUUCAAACUGUUGUCUGCUUUAUGAAAGAUGCUAUUAUUUUGGGCCCAAAA